AGAAGCCACUAUUAUGCAUCAUUAUCCUUUGAGAUUAUUUUAUUCCUGUAAAACAAAUGUCACAGCACCAAUACUUAUUUUAACUCUAUUAAUAAUCCUCCAGUUGUACAAUUGCAACACUAAGAAAAAUAUUUUACUGUCAGCAAUAAGUUUUCAUGACAGUUGUACAGUAGGAUAGACUAUCGCUCAAUCUAGUAUUACUCUAAUAGGAUACAUGUACUUUACAGUUGCAUUGCCACUUCCACAAUUAUGGAUGACAAGUUAACCUUCAAAUUAACACAUUGAGUCUGAGUGUGCCUAAAGUAAUCUGCCAUUUUAAAACCAAAUUACAGCUUCAGCUUUACAAUAAGUAAGUUGUACUGAAAUAUGUUAAUAUAGCUUAGACUUUCAAGUUGCUUUAAGGUAAUGAGUGUUUGGUAUCUUAGCAAUACAAAAUGUCCUGCCAGUUACCACAAAACAUUUAAGCUUAACAUCCUUAUACAUUUGCUAACCUUUAGUUAGAAAGAAGUGUUUUGGUUUUAUGUACUACUCUCUGAUUACUUUGAAAUGAAUUUUGCUAGUGCAUUUUUCAAGACAGCACUGGAUUGUUUUUCAUCAUCUUUUUAUUGAAUCAUUGCCUGUUUAAAAAACACAAGAACAAUGAAUAAUAGGUCUGAGUAUUUAAAGAUCUGAAGUGUGCAUACUCUUACAGCAUGACAGUUUUAAAUAGAGACUCUUCAAACUUUUCUUCUUUAGAUGAACACCUUGUUAUUCGUAACUUGUCUUGCCAGAGCUGCUAAUUUAUUAAAGAUUUAUUUCAACAAAGCUAAAUCCUUGAUCCUGUAUUAAAGUCAUGAUGAAUUUGUAACAUUACCUUCAUAUUCUUGGCAAGAGACUGGAAGUACAGAUGCAGGAUUCUGACUUCAUUCAUACAGAAUCAAGCAAAAGGAGGAACACCCACUAGCAGAGGCAUGAAAAAUACAAGCAGAGGAAACCCUCGUAUCCUACAGCUACCGUGAAUACCACCUGCCAAGUGGGGAGGCUCUUGAACCUUCCCCCACAAUGUAAAGUAUUUGAAAUAACACCACUUCCAUGGCAAGAAGCUUUUGGAAGUGAUCAACACACUUUUUAUAAUCCUAAAAAUUAAAUAGACGGUUUAAAAUUGUGAUCAGGAUUCUAGCUAUGACAGACCCUCCAGAAAGCCUUACAAUAGUUUUGUAGAUGCUUUUCUCUGUGUAGGGGCUACAUCCGAUGUACAAUGCAUACCGGUCCUAGAAGUAGGUUACCUCUCCCUCCAAUGGCUCUAUACUGGUUUGUUUUAUCACACACUAGUAAUGUUAACAGACUGAAGUAUUGGGUGCAUCAUCUUACCCUUGUUUUACUGACACACACACACACACUCUUGCCUUUUGUCGAAAAAAACUUGGCUGUAUAGACAAGGCCUUAGAGUCCUCACCUUUGUAUAACAACUACAUACUGGAUUCUUGAUUUCAUAUAAAAAGAGCUACAGAAUUUUAGCAACUCUGUAUCACCCCUGCCCCCAUCAAAGUGAUAGUUCUUGAAAUGGACUACAUAAAGAUGACUAAGUUAUUUCAGAUAUUCCACCUGCCAUUGAGACAUCUUGAUGAUUUGUAGUUUUACAAAUCCAGGGUUACUCUUUUGUAAACUGUAUCCUUUCCAUCACUAUGUGAAAUAGUCCACAAACAAAAGAUGAAAUUGAAACUGAGUGGAGUAUACAAAGCAAACUAAAAAGAUAAGUUUUACAUGCAGACUUUUAGGUUUAGCGAUCAGAGGCGUUACAAAUAAUGCCAGCAGGUAAAACAUUUUUUGUAGAAGUUUGAUUAAGGUGACCGUGACUCCUCUGUGUCUGUGCUAGCAAACACUUAGAACCCCCCACAAGAUUUCCUGAAGCUUCAGUAAUACAAAGAGUGUUCAUAAACUGUCAAGAGGAUUUUUUUUAAUAAAGUGAUUUGCUAUGUUCCA